GACGAGGGGUCCUAGCGUUGUUCGGAAUCACUGGGCGUAAAGGGUUUGUAGGUGGCUAUGUAAGUCGGGUGUGAAAUCCCACGGCUCAACCGUGGAAGUGCAUUCGAAACUGCAAGGCUUGAAUAUGGAAGAGGGCAGUAGAAUUCCUGGUGUAGUGGUGAAAUACGUAGAUAUCAGGAGGAAUACCGGUGGCGAAGGCGGCUGCCUGGUCCAAUAUUGACGCUGAGAAACGAAAGUGCGGGGAUCAAACAGG
rnacentral:rRNA from 1 species